UUCGUUCAAUUGGGGACACAUCUCGAUAUUCAAUUCUCGUAACGAGGUGAGGGAACGCAUCUCCUGAGGCAGACACUUUAAUGCCAGGCAAAACCCAAUGGUUAGUCUUUGAAGACAAGUGAGAUUCCGCAGUCCAUCUCGAGGUAGAGAUUCGAGCUCUUCAAUGUACACAAUCGAAAGGUGCUUCAAUUUAGAGAGAGGAGGAAUGAUUGAGGAAGAAGAAGAGAUUGACGGUGUAAAUAUUUGGUGCACAAGUUGUGGGCUUGCUUUUUGCAAAUUUAGUGAUUCAUCGAGAGAUGGAAACUGAGGGAUGGAGGUCAAACUCGGGCAGUUAUUACAAGAGAAAUGUGAAAGACAAGGAAAUUGGAGUAGCUCAAGUGCUGUCGAAUCAUCCCUCUUCUUCUGCCAUCCUUUCAGCUUAGGACAACCAUGUAGAUUGAGAGUCUUUAGGGAUGGAAAGAAUGAUGUUUGUUGUCCCUCAAUCUCCAUGUAUUCUAAAUUAUCUAAUGUCCAAAUUUGUAAAUGUUGAAGAGAAGGGAUUUGAUCCAUUGGUGGGAGAUGCUGACAUCUCUUGCAAUACCAUAUACAGAGAUUGACAAGAUUCGUGGGGGCAGAGAACCAACUUGGGAACCUCCUGCCUCCAUAGCCAUGCACAUUUAACUCUUUAAGAUUGGGAUGUGGUUGGAGAUUUUGAAAUGCCAUUUCAUCUCUAUCAACAUUUGAAUCUUCCCAACUCUCCUUCCAAUGUAAUACCAAUGAUUGAAGGAGUGGCUUCUCUUUCAAAUUAACAUUUACAAUCUCAUUAUCCACACAUCCCAGAUUUCUAAUUUCAAGACUUCCCCUCAAAUUGUUAAGUUUAUUCAAUUCAUUUAUUUUUCCAACAUCCUUUGAGGAAAUAUGCCCUUUUGCCACUACGAACUGUGACAACGUCUGAAGUGAAGUCAACUGCCCAAGCCCACGUGGCAUAUGAGUCAAAGACUUACAACCUUCGCAAUAUAAAUGCCUAAGAUUCACAAGCUUUUUAAUAUCUUUAGGCAAUUCUUUGAGCCUCAAACAAUUAGAGAUAUUUAAUACUUGUAAAUUCAGCAAAUCCGUAAUAGAAUUUGGAAGUGCCCUAAAUUUCACAUUCCAAGAAACACCAAGAUACCUUAGAUGUUUUAGCAUUUUUAUACAACUAUCCACCAUCUCAAUGCCACAAUCACUCAUAUCAUACGCACGCAAGCACCUUAAAUUUUUAUGAAUAAACAGCUUAUUGUAAUCAUGUUUUCCAAGCAAAAGAAAUGAUCGUGGUCUUUUUGCAUUGUUAAAAAUUUCUUGUGGUGCAACAUCCAAAUUCAAUGCUACAUGACGGAUUUUCUCAUCAAUAUUUGGUGCAUCAAAAUUUACAAGCUGGAUCCUUGUCCCACCCACUGUGGUUGCGAGAUCGUGCAUUAAAUCAUGCAUUUUACAGCUUUCGACAUUUCCAAAUCUAUCUCUUUUCACCUCUUGAAAAAAUGACCUCCACCACAGUUUCAUAAAAUAUUCAAGCCCAAUAUCCUCAAGACGAUCACUCGUAAUUGGUGCCUCAACAAACCCUUGUGCAACCCAAAGAUGGAUUAAUGUUUUCACAUCAAUCUUAUAAUCUUUUGGAUAUAAUGCGCAGUAUGCAAAACAAUGCUUCAAAUGUGAUGGGAGAUGAUCAUAACUUAGCUUCAGUGUUGGCAUAAUAUCAUUAUCAUCUUGACUUAUUCUUGAGAGUUCAUUUCUUAAAAAGAGCGGCCACUCAGUUUCUGGAUUUUUCUCAUACAAGAGACUUGCGAUAGUUUUUAUAGCAAGAGGAACUCCACAACAUUUCUUCAAAAUCUCCUCUCCAAUCUCUCUUACAUUUACAUGUUUUGGCUCCUGCCCCUCAAGUGCUACAUGCAAAAACAAAGACCAAGACUCAUCCGGAGACAAACCUUCCAAAACGUGUGGUGCCAUUGUGCUAGAUAUAUCUGCCACCUUUUUAGAGCGAGUGGUUAUUAAUAUCUUACUUCCACUAGAGCCACCCACUAAUAAUCUCUUUAAAUUCUGCCAUUUUUCUCUAGUCUCAUUCCACACAUCAUCUAGAACAAGCAGAUAUUUCUUUCCAUCAAUAAUUCCUCCAAGUUGAGAUUUCAGUGCUUCUAACUCAAGAUCUUCUGAUUUAUUCCCUGUUGCAGACUCUAGAAUCUUUCUAACAAUCAUUUUCACAUCAAAAGGAUCUGAAACAUACACCCAUAUUCUUCGCUGAAAUGAACUCUGAAUCAGUUCAUCAUUGAAUAUGAUUUGAGCAAGAGUCGUCUUCCCUAACCCUCCCAUUCCAACAAUUGAGAGGACUGAAACGCACUCUUCACCAUUGGAAGACAAUACAAGUUCUGUAAUUGCCUUUUUGUCACCCUCUCUCCCAAUAAACACUUCAGGUAAAGAGGACUCAGUUUGAUCCCUCUCCACAGUCCUCUCCUGAUCAGUUCGAACCUCUAACUUAAAUAUUCUAUCACCUUCAAUAUCAGCUAGCCUCUCCCUAAUCGCCUUAAUUUUAUGACCCAUUUUAAAACCAUAAACAAGUUGAUUUGAAGACGAAAAGAAGAGACUUACCUCCUUUGUCAUUCUAUUUCCAGUCAUCACUCGGCGCCUUAGAGCUUCAGUGGCGAAGUCAUCUACCAAGUCAUCAGCAUCAUAAACAACUUCUUCUAGCCUCUCAAGCCAGCCUUUCACUUGACGGUUAAGUUUCUGCUGCUCCUCAGCAUCCAGAAGAACAUCGCGAAUACUAGAAACCGUGGCCUCAAGUUUCUUAAGCUCACCUUUGACGCCCCACCACAAUCUGAUCUCAUCAAGGGCUAGAUAACCCAGCUUGGUAAUGAUAUCUCCGACAACGUUAUAGAGAACUUCGUCGGCCAUUUUGGGUGUUUUGAUUUGAUUGUAAAAGGAUGAAAUGUUGCUGUGAAGAAGAAGAUGGGGAAAACAAAUGACUAAUAUUUAUAAGACAACAAGAAGAUGGUGACAACAAAUGACUAAUAUUUAUAAGACAACAAAUUGCAUUUGAAGUCUAAGGGUAUAGUUGAUGAUGUCGAAAGUGGAUGUAUAAUUUAAGCUUCCUUUAAAGAGUGAGAUGCUUGAUUGUUGAUGGCCACCCUUUCUUUGGGUAACGGGCCCCUUGAACCUCUUUUAUUUAGAUGUAUUACCACUUCCUCACGUCUAGAAUUGGAUUCCAAUUUGUUCCUUUUUCCCUGCUCCAUCUUUUGAUGAUUCCUAUAAUAAAGGUAGUGAAGACAAAGGAUUUUCAUGUUAAACGCAAUUGGAUUGAACUUGUACGUUUAACCAAAGAGAGUUUUUAUGAAAGAAAUUUUAUCAAUGACGCUGUAAAAAUAGGUUUAAAAAAACAGCAGAAAAAUUAUUAAUUUAUAUAUUUAAUCUGUUGUUAUAAAUCAAUAAUUAAAUUUUAGUAUUUAUUUUUGUUAUUAUAACAUAAGAUAAUAUUUUAUUUAUUUAUUUAUAAUGAAUUAAAAAGUAGUUAAAUUAUAAUUUUAUUAAAUAUAAAAUAAAUUAUAUAUUAUUACAUACAGUGAAAAAUUAAAAUUCUCUAAAAUUUUCUCAUAAAACUAACAAUAAAUCUACCACGUGUAUUUAUCAUGGUCCAAUAUAUAAAUUUAUAAAAGAGUUUGAAGAAAAUUAAAAGGUCUAUUCAUAACUCAAAAUUCAAAUCAAUUCAAUUAAAUUUAAAGAGCAAAUUAAUCCAACUCGAAAUACAACCAAUUAAAUUCAAGCUAAAUCAUACAACACAUUACUGUUAAAAAGAAACAUAUUUUUUUAUUAAAUUUUAUAAUAUUUUUAUAUAUUAAAAAUAAUAAAAUAUAAUAAUUACUCACAAUAAAUAUAUAACUGAUAAAUAAAUUUAUAAUUAGUAUUAUUUAAUUAUAAUAUUAUUAUAAUAAUAUAUUAAAAUUAAUAAAAUAUAUUAUAAAAAAUUUAUUAUAAUAAAAAAUAUAAUAUAAAUAAAAUUAUUAAAUUAUCAUAAUAUAAAAAUAAUAUAUUAAUUAAUUAAUAUAAUUAUAAUAUUUUAAUAAUUAAAAAAAUUAAAUAAUUAUCUUACACUAUUAUGAAUCAUACCGAUCAUUCUUAAAAAAAUAAAAAAGAUAAUAAUAAUUUAGCAAUUUUAUAAAAGAUAAAAACUAAUUUUUACCACUGUUGACAAUAAAAUUUUAAAUUUAUAAAUAUUUAUUAUCUUUUUCUCUUUCUUAACUCUAAGUUCUUUUUUUUUCUUUUUUAUAAAAAAUGAUCUACGUCAAUUGAUUAUCGAUAAAAAAGAACAUGUUAUUGUCCAUAUAAAGAACUUUAGAGAUAUUUCAAUCGUCAUUUAUGAUUUUUAUAUAGUGAAAAUAUUUUUCACAUACAAUCCAAUCAAUUUUUAGAAUAUGCAAACCUUUUUAGCAGACUUACGGCGGCAAUCCUUAAAUAAUUAUUAUAUUGAAGGAUUUGGUUCCUAAUUAUAAGCCGGAUAUUUUAGUUUUGAUAGAAAUAAAAACUCUUAGUUCUCAUAUGAAAUUUUUUCAUAAUUUUUUACAUUUUGAUGAUUGUUUCUCAGUCAAUAGACAAAUAUUAGGAGGAUAUAUUUUGUUAAUGUGAAAGAGUCAUGAGUCUGUUUCUGUGGUUAACUUUUCUUUAAAUUUUAUUGAUUCGGUUGUUUCAAAAUGUAAUGUAAAAUAGAGAUUUACUAGUUAUUAUGGGUUUCCGAAAUCGCAACGAAAAUGUAAGUUUUAGAAUUUUAUUCGAGAUUUAUCUUGUAAAAGCUCUUUUCUGUGAUUUUAUUCGAGAAAUUUUAAUUAUUUAUACUCAAUAGAUAAGAAAGAAGGAAUGUUUUUAUCAAAUUAUAAACAGACACUUGAGAAGUAUUUUUACGAAAUUAUUUUAUGUAUGGAUUUGAUUUUAAAUGAUUGUAAAUCUUUGUUAGAAGUUUAAAAUUAAUAUUUUUGUUAGAUAGAUUUAUCGUAAUACUACUCUAAUUAACUAGAAAAUUUAUUCAGUAUAAUUGUAUUUUUAUUUUAAAUAAUAUUUUUUUUAUUUGAUAAAAUUUUAUUAAUAUAAUUUGUAGUUUUAUUUUUAAAAAAUAAUUUAUAAAUAUUUAAUAACGAUAGUAAAUUGAUAAUUUUUUUAUUUUUAAUCUUAAAUUGAUAAAAAAAAACCAUUUUUAUGGGUAAAAAGGGGAAACUAUUAACAUCGCAUGGGUGUUUCAGGAAGAGUAAAAACAAAACAAAUAGAGAUGUGAGGUCGCACAUCAACAACAUUUAACUAAAGAUUUUCCAAAUCUUUAAAAAGUACUGUCUUGUGGUCCACAUCUUAACUAAAGAUGUUUUCUUUAUUUUAAUUAAAAAACAUUACAAUGAUUAUAAUUAAAAUUUUUAAUUUAUUACAACUCAUACAUAUAUUGUUGAUAAUUGAUUUGAAAUUUCAAAAGACAUGUCCACUUUGACAUCACAUCUUACAGCUCUAUAGGUCCCAUUCCAUACAGACAAUUUUAAUAAAAGCAAUUUAAAUAUCUUUUAUGUUAUUUUUGUAAGAAAUAGAAAAAAAUGUUUAAAUUUAAAAUAAUAUUUAUUUUAAGAAAGUAUAAUAAAAAAAAAAAACAGAACGUUAACUAGAAAUUGAGGGGUGUGAACUGUAUAGUCCAUUAUAGAAGGUUAUAAUAGUCAAAUCGUCCACAAUGGCUUUGUUGUCUUUGUUCAACGUAUGCGCAUGGAAAAAACGAACUUCAUCCACGUGCCGAGUGAGACUAAGGUAAACUUUUAUUGAAUUUACCAUACUACCCUUUUGUUUUCUGUAAUAACCGAAGCGAUUGACUGAUCAUUUGAUUUAAUUCACAAUUUAUGAACUAAUCAUUUGAUUUUUUGUUUUCAAAAAUAUAUUAAUUAAUUUGUCUUUCCCAAGUAUGUCAUCAUAUUUAAUUAUUUUAUGCAAUUUUAAUAUGCAGCUUUUUAAUUAUAUAACAAAAAAAAGAGAAAUAAUUAAUAUAUAUAAAAGCAAAGUAGAUGGUUAUGCCAAUAAUAGCCUUUGGAUUAUUUCUUUUAGAUGGCUUUUCCCAAAUGGUAACUUCUCUGAGGAUCAAAUAGCUAAUAGUUUACAUGUAAAGAAAAAUAUUUUGACCGGAUUCAUAUAGAUUUAUAAUAUAAAAUUAUAAUAAAAUUUAUAUAUAAUAAUUAUAUUUAUUUAUAUAAUAAAUUUGUAUAAAUUUAAUUUAAAUAAAAAUUAUUUGUUAUCUAAUUAUUGCAAGUGAGGCAAUAAUAAAAUAUGACAAGAUAAAAAUUUUAAAAAUAGUUUGAAUUUAAUUUUUUAAAUCGGAGUUAAUUAUAUUAAAAAGAAAUUUAGAGAAAAGAUGAAAGGAAAGCGGCAAAAAAUAUAACACAGUAUUUAUUGUUUCUUUCAAAAAUAUAUAAUAAAAAAUACUUUUAAAGUUUAAUGCUUAACUUCACCCAUCCACUUAUUAAAAAAUUUCAACUCAGCUCAUCUUCAAUUUUUUAUUUUAUUUAGCCUGAAAAUUUUAAAAAUAUUUUAAAAUUUAGACGAGAUGUUAUUUUAAUAUAAAUUAAAUUAUAAAUUUUAAAAUAAAAUUAAAUAAAAUGAUGUAAUAAUUUUUAUUUUUUAAUUAAUAAUUAUAUUUUAUUUAUUAUAUUAUUUUUUAAUAUAUUCUAAUUAAAUUUUAAAAUAUUAAAAAUAAAGUGUAAAAAAUAAAAAAAAAUUAUAAAAAAAUUUAAAUCGAUCAAACUGAACUGAAUCGAAUAGAAACAGAUUCAGUUUGAUUUUUAUAAAUAUUAAAAUUUUAAUUUUUAAUUUAUUCAGUUCGGUUUAAUUUUGAAUUGAACUGACCGAAUGUUCAGCUAACAAUAGAUCAAAGAAAAGAAACUAAUAGGAGGCUAACUGAAUUUUAUUUUAUAAAAAUUUAUUUAAAUUAUUUUUCUAUAAAAUGAAUUAUUGGAGACAAAUCUGAAUGAAUUUAUUAAAUGUGAUAUAGAUGAUCGAAAGAAAACAGAUCAUUUGGUUGCAGUUGAUGGAGCAAAGGAAAGGCUUCAUCUGUUCAAAGCAAAUUUAGUAGAAGAAGGAUCUUUUGAUGCUUUAGUUGAUGGAUGUGAAGCAGUUUUUCAUACAGCUUCACCUGUAAUAUUUUCUGUUACUCGUCCACAGGUUCUUUUCUUGUCCCUUUUAUCUUCUUAAAUCUUAUUCAUAAAUUAAUACUCAAAAGUGAUUAAAGUUCUAUUUCAGUCCUCUAAUUAUUGGGAAAGUUCAAUUUAGUCCUUUUUAAACUUUUUGUUUAAAUUAGCUUAGGAGUUUUAAAAAAUAAAGAAUAUCAAGAAAUUGAGCUUCUUCAUAUUAAGGAGUGUAGUACAAAAAUCAUGAAGUAUUUUAGUAGAAGAAGGAUCUUUUGAUGCUGUAGUUGAUGGAUGUGAUGCAGUUUUUCAUACUGUAAUAUUUUCUGUUACUCAUCCACAGGUUCUUUUCUCAUCCCUUUUAUCUCCUUAAAUCUUAUUCAUAAAUUAAUACUCAAAAGUUAUUAAAGUUCUAUUUCAGUCCUCUAAUUAUUGGAAAAGUUUAAUUUAGUCCUUUUUAAACUUUUUGUUUAAGGAUUCUUAAAAAAUAAAGAAUAUCAAUAAAUUGAGCUUCUUCGUAUUAAGGAAUGUAGUCCAAAAAUCAUGAAAUAUUUUAGCACUUCCAGGCUAAUUUGGAAAAAAAGUGGAAGAUGGACUAAAUUGGACUUUCCUAUCUAGUAUAAGGGUAAAAUUAAUAUUUAGCCAAAGUUGAAGUUUGAAAAAAAUUACUAUUUCAUUCUGCGUGUAGAAUUAGUCCAGCCUACAGGUUAGAGAAUAUGACGUUAGACCGGUCUGUUUUAGAAGAUUCUAGUGUACUUAAAGAUUUAUAUAUUCGCUUGCAAUAUUAAUUUUAAUUUAUUUUUUAUUUAAUUUAAUAGUUAAUAAUAAAUAUAAAUUUUCACACUGAAAGAAUGAAUAUAUGUUAUACUUGAUAGUGAGAUAAAAAUUAACUGUGACAUUUCUGAAACGUUACUGUUAUUUCUUAUUAUUCAAUUACUAUUUCAUUCUGCGUGUAGAAUUAGUUCAACCUGCUUUAUUUACAGGUUAGAGAAUAUAACGUUAGACCGGUCUGUUUUAGAAGAUUCUCGUAUGCUUGAAGUUUUAUAUAUUCGCUUGCAACAUUAAUUUUAAUUUAUUUUUUAUUUAAUUUAAUAGUUAAUAAUAAAUAUAAAUUUUCACGCUGAAACAAUGAAUAUAUGUUAUACUUAAUAGCGAGAUAAAAAUUAACUGCGACAUUUCUGAAACGUUACUGUUAUUUUUUAUUAUUCCUGCAAGAUUAUAUAGAAAUCGUUAACAUUUUACAUAUUAAUAUGUUAUACUAAGCUGUAAUUGUGGAACGUACCAUUCCCUCCGUUUCAUUUCCACAUCACUAUGGAGGUCCCAUCUAACUUUCCAUUAAUUAUUUUUAAAAUAUGUAAAAUACUCUUAAAUAAAAAUUAUUAUUUAAUUAUUAAAUUAUAUAAAAAUUAAUAUUUAUAUCUUUUUUAUAAAAUAAAUAGUUUAAUUUUCAUAUUUUAAUUUUAUCAAACAUUUUUUUUAUGAAAGCCUUUUAAUUUAACAGGACCAUAAUACACGAAUUAAACUGUAUUAAUAUAAUAAAAAAAAUAAUUUAUUCAUUUGAAAAAUGUUUUUUACCUAUCAUUGUUUAUCACGUACAGUUAUUUAUUCAUUGUGUUUGACUUCAACAUCAGCAAACUUCCAUUAAUUUAAAAGCGGUUAAUUGAUUAAUAAAAAAGAUUAAUUAUUUUUUAAAUAAUUAAAAUACUCUUAAGUAUAUAAUACUAUUUAAUUAUUAAAUUAUAUUAAAUUAAUGUUUAUGUACCAAUAGUUUAUAUAUUUUAGUUUUAUAAAAAUAAAAUAUUAUUUUAAUGAAAUAACUUUUAAUUUGACAGAAAUAUAGUAAAAAACUAAACUGUAAAAUUUUAAAAAUAAAAAAAAUGUAUGUUUUAAUUGGAUAUAAAAAUAAUUUAUCCAUUUAAAAAAUAUUUUCACGAAGUAAUGAUGCAAUGUGGGGAUUAAAAAGUAGUGGUUAAUUUCAUUUCAUUUUUAGCUUAGUGACAUUGAACGAAUUAAACUUAGAAUUACUAUACUUUAAUUUUAUUUAAUUCAAAUCUUGAUAAAAAAAAUAUUUUUAUUUAACUGUGUGAUUUAGAUUUUAUUAUUAAAAAAAUAAUAAUAAAAUUUACCAAUUAAAUUAUUAAAAAAAUUAUUUACUGAAAUAAAUUAUCGAUUAUUAAUUGAUGAUUUAAAAUAUCGAUAAUAAAAUUACUGGUCGUUUAUUAAUAAAAAAAUUAUAAUUAUAUUUGAUAUUCUGAAAUUUAGAAAAUAGAUUUACAGUGGUUGUGUAAGUUUGGCGGAAAAAAAGACGUUGCUCCUUUUUUAUUGCUUUUUCUUUUGUCUGUUAAUGAUAUCUAAUUGCAUUUUUGCUACAGUACCACCGGUCUUUAUCAUUCAUAUUCGUAUGUACGGAUGUGUCAGGGUCUAUCUCCAUGUCAGGGUCUAUCUCCAUGUCAGGCAGCCAUUUAAUUCUUCCAUGACGCAUACGGGCAGGGCUACUAGGUGACCGGCCCUACUUCCUUAUCUCUUGUCACGUCACCGAGUUAGGCUCCUCUUAUACGGGCCCAUUCGUGUGGUCUGUUUGGCCUGUUUCACGCUACCGUAUUGGGAUAUGCAGGACCGGUUCACUUGAGUAAGACCUGAUGAAUUUUGGACCGGCGUUCUUCUUUAGGUCUUGGGCCAGCAUUCUUUUUUAGAGUCUAACCUUGCCUCCGGUACAGAAAGUCCAGACGAUUAUUAGUUUCCAACCAUGAGGGGAAUGAAAUUCUGUACAUAAAUCGGUUAAUAAAAGAAUGGAAAAAACUUUUAUUGUGUCGCUUAAGUUAUAUAGGAAUUUUUGAACUCAAAAAUUAAGAAUAAUAAGUUCUUCAUUAUUUAUAGUAGAAUAACUAUUUAAAAUAAUGAAUCAGAUUAUAUUUGUUGAGAAGUGUAAAAUCAUAUGCAUACGAUUUUUAUUAUACAUCUUGAUCAAUUGAAUCAUGUUUUUUAAUUGGAAUACGAAACUUUUGUAAAUGUAUUUCUGGAUAUUUUUUUAUUAUUUCAUGUAAGCGAACGAAAAUUUUCUAAUUCUAUAAAUUUUUCUAGAAUAUAUUUUUUUAAUAUCAUUUAAAAAACUUUCGGAGGUGAUCAAUAUUUUUAUAUUUUUAAUAAUAUUAUUUAAUGUCUUUCCUGAUAUUUCUGUUUUAUUUUCUGAAGUUUUUAAUAUUUAAAAAAUUUGUAAAAAUAAAAUACAGUUUUAGUGACAUAAUUAAACUACUUUUAAAUAAAAUUACUUGCUUUGUUUAAAGAGAAAUUCAUUUCUAGAUUUUAAAAGUUAUGUAGCUUUGAACUUUUUAUAUGAAUUUUACAAUUUUUUAUUUUCUAAUAUUACAAUUAAAAAUAAAAAAGCUUUUAUUUAAAAAAAAAAUUACUUGAAAAUAUUAUCGACAUGCUUGUUAUUUUCUGUAAAAUAAGUGGUUUUUUAGAGUGAAUUAUUUACGGAGAAUUAUUUUUUUUAUUUUUUAAAAUCUAGUUAUAUUCAUUUAUAGGAAACAUGAGCAAUUUUUUUAAAAAUAAAAAAUUAAUAACUAGUUUUCUAAACUUUAGCUAAAAAUUCGAAACACAUUUUAAGUUAUUUUUUUAACUAUUUUUCGAUUUAUUUUUAAUUAUGGAAGUUAUGGAUAUUUUUUUAAUAGAUAAAAAUUAUGAUAUGUGUUUAUUAUUUUCAAUUUGAAAUUGACUUUUAUUAUUAAUAGGUGAAUGAAUUUUUCAUGUUUUCUCUUGUUUCCAUAGAAAAUAAAAAAAAAUUAUAUAUUUUUAGAAAAUAAAAAAAAAGAAAUUUAUUUUGUAUAACUAAACACAAUCUUUAGUUUUCAUUUUCAAUAAAAAUAAAUGAAAACAUGAAAAAACAGGUUGAUCUAUCAAUAAUAAAAAAUUGUUUUCUAGUUAAAAAUAAAAAAAAACAAUAUUCAUAAAGAUGAAAAAUAAAUCAUUAAAAGUUAUAUUUAAAAACUUAAUUAUUUUAGCCAUUAAAAAAACUUAUUUUAGUAUUAUUCAUUUAAAUCUUAAAAUUAUGUUCAUAAUUGAAUGAGAAUUAGGGAAAAAAGCUUCCUUAUUAAUAAAAACUUCUCCGUUCGGCUGUUCUCUGCUGCCGCCGAAGGCUACCAUACCCAGAACAGUUUUAGUCACUGUACCCAAGAAACAGUAAAGCCCACUAAUUUUUGGCCCCGUCGAUGUCAAGCUAGCUCUGCAGAGCUUGCCUCUUUUGUAGAGGACAAUUGGCCAAAUAGAGAACGCACAUUCACGGAGACAUAAACAUUCAGGCCAGAGAGAGACAGAGAGAAUGAGUGGGGAAGGGAAAGUGGUGAGCGUGACUGGAGCAUCUGGGUACAUAGCUUCAUGGCUGGUGAAGUUCUUGCUUCAACGAGGCUACACAGUCAAAGCUGCAGUUCGAGACCCAAGUCAGUAAUAACUCGUAACACUAAGUAAAGCUUUAAUCUUUGAUUCCAUUUCUGUUUCUUAUCUUGCUUUUAGGUGACAUUUUAAUCUUAAAAUUUUCAACAUAUAUUCUGAUCAAAUUAUAUUCUAGGCUGUCUGUGAAGUAGAUAACUUGAUCUUUUGCUCUUGCGUACUGAAUUUUCUUUUUAAUUUUCCGAUCAUUUGUGAUCAUUAAAGUUGUUGGGUUUCUGCGAUUUCUUUAAUUUGAACUUGAUGUAUCAGUAAAUAGCCUAAUUUGAGAUCAUGACCCAAACAGGUGGUUGACUAAGAUAAACCUUAAAAUUAUUUAAUCUGGGUAGCUUAGCCAUGAUUAUUGAAAUAAAAGAUUAUGUUGAUAUAUGGCUCAGAUGAUGCAAAGAAAACUGAACACUUGCUUGUACUUGAUGGAGCUAAAGAAAGACUGCAAUUAUUCAAAGCAGAUUUAAUGGAUGAAGGGUCUUUUGAUCCUGUGGUUGAGGGAUGACGUGAAUGUGUUUUCCAUACAGCAUCUCCAUUUUAUUUAUCUGCAACUGAUCCCCAGGUAAAUCUCCUCUUAGUUGUGAAUUAGUUUUAGAGUCUUUUAAUAUGUGAUGUUGUCAAAAGUUUCAAUUUUCAACUAGUAACCAAAAUGGAAAUCCCUUAAAUACUCGCAGAUCUUUUCAAGAGAUAAUUUAAACAAGUUUAUCAACCAAUGAGUUUAUUCGAAUAUGAGAUAAUUUUCAAGUAGUAACCACUCUUCUUGUUUUUUUAUUAUUAUUAUUUUUUUUUAUUAAUACUCCCAUUGAUAUUUUUCCUUUUUUCCUCUUCAGGCAGAACUUAUUGAUCCUCCAUUGAAGGGAACACUUAACGUUCUUAGAUCAUGUACUAAAGUUCCUUCUAUCAAAAGAGUGGUCAUAACAUCAUCCAUGGCAGCAGUUGCAUUCAAUGGGAAACCUCUUGCUCCUGAUGUAAUAAUUGAUGAGACAUGGUUUUCGGAUCCUGAUUUUUGUGAGAAAUCAAAGGUAUAUAGAAGCACUGACUUCUUAUUACAACAGCAUAUUUCUAAAGGCUUUUUCAGUUAAUGCUGCCCGAAACAAUGUUUAUGCAAUAUCAGUUAGCAAAUCUUGUUACACGAACUGUGGAACCUCUGUCCUAUAAUUUUUUGUUCUGAAAAUAUGUAAAAUUUCUCUCAUUUUGCCUUUCACUUUUCUUUGGCUUGGUUGUGUUGCAUGUUUUAUGCAUUGUAGCAUGCAGACCAGAAACCAUUGUCAGUAUAUGUUCAACAAAUUGUCUUGUUUCUUGUCAGUUAUGGUACAUGCUUUCAAAAACCUUAGCAGAAGAAGCUGCUUGGAAGUUUACAAAAGAGAAUGGAAUAGACAUGGUUACAAUAAAUCCAGGAUUGGUGAUUGGUCCUCUCUUACAGCCAACACUUAAUACUAGCUCAGAGUCUGUUCUGAAACUUAUAAAUGGUAAUUUUUCAUCUAUUUUCUUCUCCUUGCUUGAAAUGUUUUAUAAAUUUAUACUGCCAGGUUUUUCAAAGGUUUCAUCCCUGUAUAAUCUUUAUGUUUGGCUAAUAUUUAAUAAAAUGCAAAUUCCUGUGAGAAUUUCCAGGCCUACUAUGCUUUUGGCACAAAAUCCACAAUGGCUCAAUCCUAAUGACUUGAUAGAAGUUUGAGUUAAACACAAGAAGAAGGAAAAACAUAUUAGACACUCAGCUCAACAACGUACUGAGUCUCAAUCACAAAAUAGUUGAGGUCAAACAUAAGAGACAUAAGAAAGAUAUUAGCAAAUUUAAAAGAAAAAUUUACUAAUUAAUCUCUAUGUUAUGAGAAAACUUAUUAAUUGGAUCUUCAGUUUUGAAAAAUACAUUAAAACGUUCCUAGCAUUUUUAAAUCUACUAAUUAGUGCUUCUGUUAAUUUUAGCUUUUAAGUGUUUUACUAUUUAGUUCUCAUAAUUUGGAAAAAUUCAUUUGUUGGUUCUUCGGUUUUAUAAAAAACCUACUAAUUAGUUCUUCCGUAUUAAAGGCAUUUUAGACUUUUUUGCAAUAUUUAGUAGCCAAAAUUAACAAAGGAACUAAUUAGUAGAAAUUUUAAAAUAUAAGAAAUAUUUUAAUAUAUUUUUCAAAACUGAGAGAUUAACUAAUGAGUUUUUUUAUAUUAAAGACCAAAUAGUAAUUUUUCAAUUGAAAAUUGCUUGAAAACUAAGAAUUCAACAUGUUUUACUGUUCUUAAAAAAGAAAACUAUAACCAAUCCCUGAGAUUCCUUAAUUCUGUCAGAAUGUAAGUGCCUAAUUAUUACUUUAUAUAUAUUUUGCAUGCAAUUAUUUGUGAUGCAAGCAGUUGAGAUGUUUUGAUGCAGGAGCAGAAAAAUAUCCAAAUACAACAUUCAGAUGGGUUGAUGUCAGAGAUGUUGCCAAUGCACACAUUUAUGCCUUUGAGAAUUCUUCAGCUUCUGGAAGAUAUUGUUUAGUUGGGUCAGUUGUACACUCUUCUGAGACUCUGGAGAUUUUGCACAAACUUUUCCCUGAACUCAAGCUUCCUAAAGAGUAAGUUUCUUAGAUAACAUACAUCAUUCCAUUUUACCCAUUGUCUACAUAACGGACAGAGAUGAGCUUGUAUCCAUUUUUAUCGAUUGCAGAUGCGCAGAUGACAAGCCACCCUCGACGAAAUAUCAAGUAUCCAAAAAGAGAGCAGAGAGUCUAGGCGUCAAGUUUACUCCUCUCGACGUAAGUUUGAAGGACACUGUUGAAAGCUUGAAGGAGAAGAACUUAGUUAGUUUUUGACUUGGAUUAUUUUACAUGCUAGUCAGAAACCUGCAACUUAUUUUAUUUAGUCAUUGUUGCUGGCCACAGUUGAGGCCUUCAUGUCUAGGAAGUAAGCACCAGAGGUGAUGUACCUGCAGCUGGAAAAAAUAUUAAUUUAUACUAUGCAAAAGGCUUCUUUAAACCUUUGACAAAUUCCCAAUUGUAGAUUAAACUCAUAACAAUUUUUUUGAUAGUAUUAGAGACAUCAGCAGAGGCGAUCCACUCGCCAUUGGGAGGGUAACGAGCAAUGGUUCAACAAAUGAUAAUUAUAAGCCUUCUAAAUUUUGAUAGUACUAGAGACAUCAGCAGAGGCGAUCCACUCUCCCAGCCACUGGGAGAGUAACGAGCAAUGGUGGCUUGAGAACCAUAAUCUCAUAGAUGGAGAUAUCAAGUGGUAUCGGAGUUGAGGAUGAGAACUAACCGGUUGGGAGAGGAUUGACAUUUAAAGAGAAAAUUGAGAUUUUUAAAGGAAAUGAAGAUUUGAUUGAGAAUGAAAAUGGCAUUUUUAGAGGAAUCAAUUGCUAACCAUGGUUUUAGAGAAGAUUUACAUUUGUAGAGAAAAUGGAGAUUUGAUCAAUGGAGUUGUGUUGUGUAAGAGGAGAAAGGUGAAUAGGUGAUGAGUAAAGAUGAGUGACAGGGGCCGCAAGCUUGAUCAAUGGAGUUGUGUUAAUUGAUGGACAAAAAAAUUGUUAAAGGCAUUUUGCUUUUAUAUUAAUUUAUCCAUUUAGUCAAGAGAUAAAUAUGAUGACGAGGGAUAAAAACAUUAAUAGUAAUAAAAACUCAAAUUGAAACUAUUUAUUAUGAUAAACUCAAAGAUUUGAGCUUAACAGGGGCAGCAAGCUUUUUGGGAUGAUCCAAUCUCACAGCUUGUAGAGCAUCUUCUCUUAUCAAAUUCUUCAAGUUCAUAUUCUGUGCUUUUGUCUAUAUUUCCAGGGAACCAAACAGAAAAAUGAAUAAUUAAAAAAAUUGCAUUGUCUAUUAUAUAAUCUAGAUGACUAUAUGACAAAAAGGAUCAACAUCAUCUGACAUGUUUGUUUGUGGACCAAUCUAACAACUUCAUCAUAAUUCUACAACAAUGAUAAUUGACCAAAUUAUUACCGUCGGUUCAUAUAAGAUUUUCAUUUUAGUAAAUCUUUGAGCUGUACAAGAAAAUGGAGUUGCACAUUAGUUAAUGAGAGAAGAAGAGAAUGAAUAGAGAAGGAAAAGUAGUAUGUGUAACGGGAGGGUCAGGUUACAUAGCAUCGUGGCUGGUCAAGUUCUUGCUCCAUCAUGGAUAUACAGUGAAAGCCACUGUUCUUGAUCUAAGUUAGUAUCCAUCUCCUUAUUUAUUCUGUUUUGUUUCUUUUGAUCUCAGUGUGAUAAAGUCAGGAUGAUAUUUCUGGUUUCUGAUUAAAAUCUUCAAAAUUUGAGUUAUGGAUUUUGUUUUUUUAAUCUUAUCACCCCAAAUCAGUGAGUUAAAAUCAAGUUUUCACCACUGGUAGGUUUCCAACUUGCCCAUUAAGGAGUCUGAUUAUACAUCUGUUGUAUAGAUGAUUUAAAGCAAACUGAACACCUAUUUGCACUUGAUGGAGCUAAGGAGAGACUCUUCUUGUUCAAAGCAAAUUUACUGGAAGAUGGAUCUUUUGAUUCCGCCAUUGAUGGAUGUGAAGGUGUAUUUCACACAGCUUGUCCACUCUUUUGUACAAAUGAUCCACAGGUGUAGACCUUACAGUCGAAUUUCUCUCUUUUAUUGCGGUUAUAAGUGCGUGUCUUUUUAGUACAAUGGGUUUGUCACAACCCAUUGAUUCAGUGUUAGCCAAUAUUUUCAGGCAGAACUGAUUGAUCCUGCAGUGAAGGGAACUCUAAACGUUCAUGUACAAAAGUCCCUUCUCUCAAGAGAGUGAUCAUAACAUCUUCAAUGGCAUCAGUUAUGUUCGACGGAAAGCCUAUGAUACCUGAUGUGGUAAUUGAUGAGACUUGGUUUUCAGAUCCUACCUAUUGCGAGUCAAUAAAGGUGAGAAUAUGUUGCCUGAAAUUCAAACUACCACAGCUUCUGCAAGCUCUAGAUUCACAUUGGUCACUAUCAGAACCUUGUUUCAAUAGCUAGCAUUACACUUUUUAUGGGUUUGUAUUAAUUUUUCUGGGUUUUCUAGCAUUGGUAUCUGUAUGCAAAAACCAUAGCUGAGAAAGCUGCCUCAAAAUUUGCAGAAGAAAGUGGAAUUGACAUUGUCACAAUACAUCCAGGAUUUGUAAUUGGUCCUUUCUUACAGCCAACUCUAAAUGUCACUGUGGAGGUUAUUCUAAACUACAUAAAUGGUAAACUCUUUCUCAGUGUUCUGUCUUUAAAUGUAAUGAUCUCUAACAUGUCCAUUCUUUGUGAAUUGUGGGUUCCUUGCAUGCAGGAGAAACAUUUCCUAAUGAAAUUUACAGAUUUGUCGAUGUUAGAGAUGUUGCAUCUGCACAUAUUCAAGCUUUUGAACAAGCUUCUGCUAAUGGCAGAUAUUGUUUAGUCGGAAAAGUUGUACAUUUCUCCGAGUUCUUGAAGAUUGUUCAUGAACAAUACCCCGCUCUGCAUCUUCCUGAAAAGUAAUCUUUUUUCUUUCUUUUUUUUACCUUUUGAGUGAUACAGGAUUUGACAGUUGUAGAAAUUGUGGUGCAUGAUGUUCUUGGUUAGCAGAUGUGAAGAUGAGAAGGCUUUUGCAUUAAAAUAUGAAGUAAUGCUAAUAAUGAAAUCUGUUAUGUUCUUUUUCAUUUCCACAAGGAUUUUCUAUGUGCAGGAAGUCCAGUUUAUUAAAAUGUAACCGAUUGGAAAAUGUACGGAUUGUGUUGAAUUUAAUAUACAUCGGAAAAUUUUCUACUUUUAUCCUUUCAUUUGUCCAGGUUCAUUUUGUUGGAAAAGAACCCAAAUAAAUUCUUAUACGUUUUUUUAAAAUUAAAAAAAAUGAAAAUUUUAUUAAUUAAAAAAAUUAAAAUUUUUAUUUCAAACUAUAAAAACAAUAGAAUUAAAGUGAAUUAAAUUAAAUUUUUAUAAAAUUUUUAAUAUAUAUAUCAAUAAGUUUUAUUACAAUAAAAUUAGAGUCGUCCCAAAAACCAUAAAAUUUUAAGUUAAAUAUUAAAUAUUUAUUUAUAGUUAUACUAUCUUUUCUUUUGUAUACAUCACACGUUAGUCUGAACUAUUCAGAGAUAAUUAAUAAUUUAAUAAUAAUAAUUUUUUAAACAGAAUUAGAAAUUGAAAGAGUAAACGUUACUCAAAUACAUUAUAGAAUUAUUAUAAAAUUAUUAACAUAGUAUUUUGUUUAAUUAUAGAAUUCAUUUAAAAUGAAUUUUACCCUUUUUGUUUGAUAUAAUUAAAUGGUAUAAUUCGAUUGGAUUUCAUAUAAUUUCCAUCUAAUAUAAUUUCAGAAUUGAAAUUCACUGGCAAAUCUGAUUCGCCUACUACAUCUCCCUCGAAUCCUUUCUCUUGCUCAAUCUCAUUCUUCCGACAAAGACAAAGCAGCGGCUUCAAAUGCCGAUCUUAUUAAUUCAGCUCUUCGGCCUGUGUUUGCAGUCAUUAUCUGGGUUUAUACCGCCUCCAAAUCCAGCUCAAUGCUUUCUGGGAUUGCCGGUAUUUUGCUUGAAUCGGUUUUUUUUUUUUUUUUUUUUUUUCUGCUUUCUGAGGUACUGUUGGUGGCAGCUCCGUCAUAGUAGCUGGUGGUUCCACUUUCUAUUUUUAUUUUAUUAUUGAUUUCUUUUUGUAAACCAUAUUGUGAUGUUAGGUGAGAUUAUUAAAUAAAUAAUUUACCAGUAGCUAUCCAGAUUUUAAGCAGGGGACUGUGACUUGGCUGUAAAUUACCUAGUCUUUAGCACUUUUUUGGAAAAAAAAAAAAAAAAAAAAUCUUUGGCAUCUAUUUUGCUUGCAAAGAUUAGACCUUUUUUAGAACUAAUUCAAAGAAAAAAUGAGUGGAGAAGGAAAGGUGGCUGUGUGACAGGAGGGUCUGGUUACAUAGCCUCCUGGCUAAUCAAAUUCUUGCUUCAAAGAGCUUACACUGUCAAGGCCACUGUUCGUAAUCCAAGUAAAUCCCUCCCCAUCUGUCUCUUUUUUUUUCCUACAAGCUCAGUUGGGUCAUUGGUGAAUCUUAAUUUCUUUGAAAUCUUUGGCAUCUAUUUUGCUUGCAAAGAUUAGACCUUUUUUAGAACUAAUUCAAAGAAAAAAUGAGUGGAGAAGGAAAGGUGGCUGUGUGACAGGAGGGUCUGGUUACAUAGCCUCCUGGCUAAUCAAAUUCUUGCUUCAAAGAGCUUACACUGUCAAGGCCACUGUUCGUAAUCCAAGUAAAUCCCUCCCCAUCUGUCUCUUUUUUUUUCCUACAAGCUCAGUUGGGUCAUUGGUGAAUCUUAAUUUCUUUGAAUGAGGGUUUGAUUUUAUAGUGACUUUGGUUGUGGCUGUGCGGCUGUGGAUCUAAUCUUUUAUGUUUUACUUCUGGUUUUGACUUCAUUUUAUACAAUUUCAUGGGUAUUUAAUUGCUUAUAGCACUUUUUUAUGUGGUUUUGUUGAUUAUUGAUAAUUUUAUAUCCUGCUGUUUGCUUGUUAAGAAUGAAUUGAAUCAGCCCUCACUUCGAUUGAGUAGCUAAAUGACUUAAACUUUUCAUGUAUCAUUAUUUUAAACACCAAGCAAGGACGAUGGAAAGAAAGCAAGAUACUAGCAUAUGAGUAAACUUCUACUAAACUGAUGUGAAAUCUUAAAUUAGUUUGCUUGUUUUAGUGUUUCUUUAACUUUCAAUGUUCUCAUUGGACUCAUACUUCAGUUCAUUGAAUCUGUAUUCUGUACCCCAGAUGAUCUGAAGAAAACUGCACACUUGCUUGCACUCGAGGGAGCCAAGGAAAGGCUUCACUUGCUCAAAGCUGAUUUAUUGCAAGAAGGAUCUUUUGAUGCUGCAGUUGAUGGUUGUGAAGCUGUUUUCCACACAGCUUCCCCUGUAUCUCUUCAAGCCAAUGCGGAUCCUCAGGUCCAUCAUCUUUGACAACCUUUUCACUGCCUUUAUAUGUGAUAGAGUUCCUCCCUUUGGACCUAAACUGCAAUUUCUGACUGUUCUGUUGUCAUUUGGCAUUACAUUUUCUCAUAUUUCUCUAUAAUAACUUGUGCACUAUCUGUGUUAUUUUAUUAUGUUGAUGUAACUGUUCGCCACCGGCUAUUUCGAUGUGUCAGGCAGAACUAGUUGAUCCUGCAGUGAAGGGAACUCUAAAUGUUCUUCGAUCUUGUGCAAAAGUUCCUUCUAUCAAGAGAGUGAUUAUAACAUCUUCAUUCGCUUCUCUUCCAUACAAUGGAAAAAUUCUGGCCCCUGAUGUAGUUGUUGAUGAGACUUGGUUUUCAGAUCCAGCUGUUUGUGCAAAACGGAAGGUUUGUCUUCUAUUAAAAUGCUACUCAUUAUCUUUUGGCCCUGAAAUUAAUUGCUUAACCCUCUGUUUGGAAUCAAGAAUUUCACCAGAAUUCAAUUCAAUUGAUUUUUUUUUUCUAUCAAUUUUUUUGUACGGAAUGAGUGAAAUCAAACUUUUUUAAUUUAAAAAAUUGUCAUUUUAAAAGAGGUCAAAUUCUUGCAUAAUUUUGUAAGAAUUCAUUUGAACUCUUUUCUUGCAAGAUGAAUCACCCUAAACAAGGGGUAAAGGGUAAAAGAAGAUGAAAAAGGGAUAUCUGACCAUCAUGGUUUGUCCUUGAGCAUAUCAAUCUUGAUUACUUCUAAUUUACCCAUCCCAAUUGGAUGGUUGUGAUGAUACAAUGAAAUCAACUUGAUUUUAUAUCUUUAACUGUUUUGUUUAUGAGAUAAUUUGGUCUUUUCUUUCUCCAGCUCUGGUAUCAACUUGGGAAAACGUUAGCUGAGCAGGCUGCUUGGGAAUUUGCAAAAAACAACAAGAUGGAUUUUGUUACAAUACAUCCAGUGUUUGUCCUUGGUCCUCUUUUGCAGCCAACUAUUAAUAGCUCAAUCGAGAUACUUUUCAAUCUCAUAAAUGGUGUGCUCCAGCAACAUAAGAAGACAUGUCCAUUUGAUUACCAAAUAUCUUGACAUUUUAGCAUUAAUUUAAUCACACAAUAUUACAUGAUUUAUUAUGUAACAAUCAGUUGAUUUUGUUUUUUGGGUAGGAGGAGCUCAAGAGUAUCCUGAUGCAUAUUAUAGAUCCAUCGAUGUGAGAGAUGUUGCAUAUGCACAUAUUCAAGCUUUGGAGAUUCCUUCAGCUAGUGGCAGAUAUUGUUUAAUUGAAAGCGACGUUCACUUCUCUGAGGUUCUGAAGAUUGUGCAGCAACAUUAUCUUACAUUGCACCUUCCAAAAAAGUAUGGUUUUUUUAUAUUUUUGCAUGCUCAUGUUGGACCAGCUAUAUGAAUGGCUAAGUUUUAUAAUUAUUUGGAUUACUGAGAAAUAGUUGUUUUGAAUGAUUAAUUUAAUCAUGGAAUAUCAUCUGAGUUGCAGAUGUGGCUCCGGAUUGAAUUACUUAACAAAGUCUGGGGUAUCCAAGGAAAAAGCGAAAACUUUGGGUAUUGACUUCAUUCCUUUGGAGGUUAGUUUGAAGGACACUAUUGAAAGCUUGAAGGAGAAGGGCUUCCUCAGCAUUUGAUUUUUGCUGUUGGAUGAAAAGCAAUGGAAAUUGUUGACUGAUGAGACUUUUUUACUUAAGUUUUAUUUAAUGUUUUGUUUAUGUUGAGAAUUUGAAUCAUAAUAUUAGGAAAGAAAAAGAAGAAAAAUAGAGAACCGAAGAAAGAAUUCUGCUAAGAACUCUCUUGUUAAAAUUGAAAUUAAUAUUUCUUUAUAUAGGCUACAAUUAAAAUUCAAAACUUAAAAAAAUUUUAAAAUAUCUUAACAAAUCUUAUAGUUUGUUUGAAUAAUAAAAAAUCUAGAAUAAUAAAAAACAAUAACUGAAUAUCAAAAUAAAUAUUUGAAAAUUUGAAUUAAAAUCUCAAAUACUUUCCUUUAAUUCAAAAUUUUCUCAAAAUUUAAAUUUUAUGGAUGGAGUAUUUCUCUCUAACUAUUAAUUUGUGAAGCAUUUCUCCUCACUGCAACAAUUGCUGAUGCACUUUUUACCAACCUCACACGGAGCACUUCUUUCCAAAUCAAAUCACGAAACUAACCUCUCCAAAUCAAAUCACUGUACUAACCUUUCAACAUUGUUUUUUUUUUUUUUUUUUGAAUUUAGCACUUCUUUCUAAAAUAAAAUUUCUUAGUACACCUCUCGCCAAUUAAUUUAAAAUAAAGGUUUUAUUUUGUUAUUUUAAUUAAAUUUACUUUUCCUUUUGUUUUCAAAUUUGUAAUUUUUUGUAAAUGACUAAGUUUUUAACAAUGUGGUUUUCCUUUAUAGAUGACUUGACUGAAAUGACUUGAAUGUAUUUUCUGAGUAGUAAGAGUCAAGUUUUCAAUGUAUUUAAAAAAUUUAAACCUUUAAUUGAAAAGCAGAGUGGUUGUGCCUUUAAGAUUUUGAGGUCUGAUAAUGGUAAAGAGUAUAUCUCGAAUGAAUUUAACAAAUUCUAUGAAGAUACUAGUAUUUAACAUCAACUUUUAGUUUCUUAUUCACCUCAAUAGAAUAGAGUUUCUGAGAGAAAGAACAUAACAAUUAUUGAAAUAGCCAAAUGUAUGUUGAAAGAGAAAGUGCUACCAAAGAUGUUUUGGGCUGAAGCUAUUUAUACAACUGUGUAUUUAUUGAUAGACUUCCUACUAGAGCAGUGGAAGGGAAAACUCAGCUGUAGCAUAGUUUGGGUCAAAGCCUUUUGCAAGCCACUUGAAGGUCUUUGGAUAAGUUUGCUACAUACUUGUUCCUAAUGUCAAGGGAGUGAAGCUAGAUGAUAAAUUUGAUUUGAGUAUUUUUCUAAGUUAUAUAAUUUCAUCAAAAUGCUAAAAAAUCUAUAAUGUGCAAACCAAGAAAGUGAUUGUUAGUAGAGAUGUGAAGUUUAAUGAAGGAGCCUAUUGGAACUUUCAGAAAGAGCAUAUUGUUGGAGCAGUAAACUCUAUGUUAGCCAAAAGUUAUUUUUGAAAGCUCUAGCAAUGGAGAUAUAAAAUUUGAAAAAGAAUCUAAUUCUGAUUCAUAAUCUGAAAACGAGUCUAAUUUUGUUUUAGAAUCUGAAAAGGAGUCUAAUUUCGAUAAUGAAGCACAUGCCUUUAAAUUAAGUCUCUUUCCGAGAUUUAUGAAAGAUGUAAUGUGGCUGUGGCAGAACCAAGCUGCUAUGAAGAAGCUUCUCAAACUAAAAAAUGACAGAAUGCUAUAAAAGAAGAAAUUGCAGUAAUUAAAAAGAAUGAAACCUGGGAAUUGGCUUCCAAACCAAAGGGUAAAAAUGUAAUUGGUGUGAAGUGGAUUUACAAAAUUAAAUUAAAUUCUGAUGGCUUUAUCUUCAAGUACAAAGCCAGACUUAUUAUGAAAGGUUAUGCUCAGCAACCAGGGGUUGCUUAUGGAGAUACUUUUACUCCAGUUGCUAGCAUGACACUAUUAGAUUGUUGUUGUCUUUAGCAAUCUAAAAUGGUUGGCAAGUGUUUCACUUUGAUGUCAAAUUUGCAAUCUUGAAUGAUUUGCUAAAUGAGGAGAUUUAUAUCCAGCAGUCUGAAGGAUUUGAAGUAAGGGCUAAGAAGACAAAGUGUAUAAGGUUAAGAAGGCACUUUAUUGCCUGAAACAAGCUUUAAGAGCUUGGUAUGCAAUGAUUGACUCACAUCUGAUCCAAAAUGGAUCUAGAAGGAGUGAAAAUAAGCUAACCUUGUAUGUAAAUAAUGUUGGAGAUGAAUCUCAGCUGAUUGUGUCACUUUAUAUUGAUGAUAUGUUAGUGACUAGUAGAAAUUCUCAGUUAUUGGAUAAUUUUAAGCUGAGAAUGCAAUCUGAAUUUGAAAAAUCAGAUUUGGAAAUUAUGACUUAUUUUCUUGGGCUUGAAAUUGAGCAAGGUGCUGAUGGUAUCUUUAUGUCUCAAAGGAAAUAUGCUCUUGAAAUGCUGAAAAAGUUUAAUUUGGAUAAAUACAAGUUUGUGGUUGUUCCUCUUAUUGUGAAUGAGAAACUUAGCAAGGAUCAUAGAGCUGAACUAGCAGAUGCUUCACUGUACAAAAAUUUGAUUGGUAGUUUGCUAUAUUUGAUUGCUUUUAGACCUGAUUUAAUGUAUUCAACAAGCUUAUUAUCUAAAUUUAUGUAUUUUCCUAGUCAAUUGUAUUUUAUUGCGGGUAAGAGACUAUUGAGAUACUUGAAGGGUAUUGCUGAAUUUGGCUUAUGGUUUCAAAGAGGAAAAGUUGUCAAGCUUGAAGGUUAUGUGGAUAGUGAUUGGCUGAUGUAUUGAUGAUUCAUAGAGCACUAAGCUAUGUUUUUUUCUUAGUUCAAGUCAUUUCUCUUGGAAUUAAAGGAAGCAAGAUGUGGUAGCUUAAUUUACUGUUGAGGCUGAAUAUAUAUUUCAGCUAUUGGUGCUUUAAAUCAAUCAAUUUGGCUUAGGAAACUACUAAAGAAUUUGGGAAUUGAGCAAGUGUACUGUUAUAUGGUAUGAUAAAAAAUCAGCUAUUACCAUUGCAAAUAAUUCUGUUUAACAUGGAAUAACUAAGCACAUUAAAGUGAAAUUUCAUUUUCUAAGAGAAGUAGAGAAAAAAUUCAGAGAUCAAGUUGCUGCAUUGCAAGUAAGUUUGAAAAAUUAAGAAAGAAGCUUGGAGUAUCAAGAAAAAAUCUCAAGAAGUGUUGAUUGAUGAGAUUUUUUCUAGAUACUUAGGUUGCUUAAAUCUUAGUUAAUGUUUCAUUUAAAGUAUACUUUUUAUUGUAGAUGCAAUGAUAUAAUGGUUAGUUAAAUGAUUGUAGUACAAUUCACCGUACCUUAACCAUGCUUUUUUAUUUUAUUUGUAAGAGUUAUUAAUAUCUGUUGUAAUUUGUGUAAUCAGUCUCAUUUUGACUACUUAUUCCAUGAAUCAUAAUCUUUUAGCAAGAGAGGGAGAGACUUAAAAAAGAGUUUUGAAUUUUUUUUUUCUCAAUUCACUACUAAUUUUAAAUAUUAAUUUUUAAUUUUAAAUAUAUAAUUUCAGUAUUUAAUUAUUUAUUCUUUAUUCCAGCUCCUUAAAUACCCGUUUACGGUUUUCAAUAUCUAAUUUUAGUAUUUAUUCUUACUCCAACUCCCAACACAAAUAUUACAUUCUCCUUUCAAGUUCAUUUGUCUUUUAGCUUCUUUUGGUGCAAGAUAUCAUUGCCCUUCAGGAUUGUCUUUACUUGAAAAAAAUGAACCAAUACAAUUUGUAAAAUAUGUAUCAAUUUGUAUACAACUGAAUAUAAACAUAUUAUAUGCGUCACUUGUUUCACUGGUAGAUGAAGUUCAUUACAGGUCUGAUUUCUGAGGAAGUUUUCUUUUUUUUUUUUUUUCUUUUAUCUGAUUUCAUAUCUCAUUCCAAAUAAUAAGACGCAAGAAAAAUAAUAACCAAUUCAGAUUUAAUUCGGUCUUUUCAAAAUAUAUUCAGAAUUCAUAGCCAAUCCAUUUAAUGCUCUAUCUGAUUUCUGGUUCUUGUGAUAUACUCUUACAAAAUUCAUCUAAAAUUCAGGGCUCUUACAUAUUCUGGCAACACAAUUUAUAUAAAAACUGAUUUCUCAGGAAAAAAAGGGAAAAUUAUGUUAUUUGCAUUGAAUGAACAAAUGAUUAGCAUAAUAGCAAAGCUACUUAAAAUCAGAGAAAUUAGAAAAAAAAAAAAAAAUCAGCACAGUUGAGUCUGGGCAUUGCAUGUUGGAUGAUCAAAACAGAGGUCUCGAGUGAGAAUUUAGAUCCUGAAAUACGCAGGCCUGCAGCAAGUCAUUCGAAGAAGUGUGCAAAACUCCCAUCAUUCAGCUUCAUUUCUGCUUCCCGCUCAGCAAGAUUACUCUGUAUCUUGUUUUCUGAACUGCGACAGACAGGAAACUUAUCCCGGUGAGUUUUUAUUCCGGGAUGUCAAGGGCACAACCUGCGUAGCUUAAUGAAUCUCCAUCAUCUUCGCCGCAGGUGUAAGUUAUGAAGAUAACUGCUAGAUGGAGGAUUUUCACACUAUUGAUUUAGCAUUUGUUUCAAGCCAGAUUCAUCAUUAAAUCACAGAUUUGCUUUACAAGCAAUAACUAGGGGGAUUUCAUAUUACUGAAUCGCUUAUUUUUGGAGACAGAAGAAGAGUGCUCACAUUUUGUUUUUACUGCACAAACACUUGAUAAAGAAUCUGAGUGAGAAGUUCCUCUCGCCAAGAACAUUUGCACCCAGAAAUUUCCUUAAAUAAAUAAGGUUUUAACAAGGUGAAUGCUUUGCUUUUUCUUUUUUUGUGAAGAACUUCAGAGUAAACAAAGGUAAGACUAUUGGGUUUUGAUGUUUACCUUGUGUGGGAGAAAUAUGAUGUUUAUCCAGAACUUCAGAGUAAACAAAAUGUAUUCUUAAUGUAUUCUUUUUUAGGAUCCGGCCCACCCAAAUGUAAAAAGUCUUGCAAUUAUUAUAAAUAACAGCAACACUCGAGAAUUAAAUAAUAAACUGAUUUUAUAAAUCAUAUUGUAACGUUAUAGGAGAAUAUCAAAUAAAUAAAUUAUUAAAUUUCUAGAAAUUUUAAAGAAAAAAUUAUAAUUUAAUCAUUAAUUGAUGUUUUUAUUUUUAAAAAGAUAUAUUAAAACAUUAUUAAAAUUUUAAAAUAUUAAAAAUUAAUUUAUUUUUAAAAAAAUUUAAAAUAUUUUUGAUAUUGAAUGAUUAUGUAAUAAAUUUUUUAUAAAAUUAAUAAAUCAAUUAAUAAAUUUUAUGAACAUAUAAAAAUUAAAUAGUAAAAUAUUUAAAAAAAUAAUAAUUUUUAAAUUUUUAAAAUAGUAGAGAUAUUUUAGUAUUUUUUUUUUUUAAACUUAAGUGAUUAAUUUUAAAUAGAGAAGGGUGACUUGAUUGUAAAUUACCUAGUCUUUAGCACUUUUUUGAAAAAAUAAAAUCUUUAGCAUCUAUAUUUGCAAAUUCCUUGCUUUUUUAUUUUUUGGCUUGCAAAAAUUAGACCAUUGUUAGAACUUAGAACUAAUUCAAAGGAAAAAUAAGUGGAGAAGAAAAAGUAGUCUGGUUAUCCUAUCUGUCUCUUUUUGGCCUACAAUCUCAAUUGGGUCAUUGAUGAACCUUAAAUUUUUUUAAUGAGGUUCCGCUGUUUAAUUUCUUGGUUGGGUUUGAUUUUAUACUGACUUUGCUUGUGGCUUUGGAGCUGUGGAUCUAAUCUUUAUGUAUUACUUCUGGUUCUGACUUCAUUUUAUGCAAUUUCUGGUCUGAUUUCUGAGGAAGUUCCUUUAUAUUCAGAUUUCAUAGCCAAUCCAUUUAAUGCUCUAUCUGAUUUCUGGUUUUUGUGAUAUACUCUCACGAAAUUCAUCUAAAAUUCAGUGCUCUUACACAUUCUGGCAACACAAAUUUAUAACCAAAACUGAUUUCUUAAUUAGGAAAAAAGGGAAAAUGAUGUUAUUUGCAUUGAAUGAACACAUUAUUAGGAAAACUACUUAAAAUCAGAGAUAUUAGAAACAAAUUGCAGCAUGGGUAACUUUGAGUAUUGCAUGUUGGAUGAAAGAAACAGAUAGAGCAUGUCAUUCAAAGAAGUACGCAAAACUCCAUCAUUCAGCUUCGCAACUAUUGAGUUGUUUUCUAAACUGUGACAGAUAAGAAACUUGUCCCUGCGAGCUUUAAUUCCAGUAUGUCAAGGACACGACCUGCAUAGCUUAGUGAAUCUCCACCAUCUUCGGCUUGGUUUGAAAUCUGUUUCAAGCCAGAGUCACCAUUAAGUCACUGAUUUUCUUUACAAGCAAUAACUAGGAGGAUUUUAUAUUACAAGUGGAGUCCUUACAACUUACUGUAUAGCUUGUUUUUUGAAGAUGGAAGAAAGGGAGUACUUUCAUUGUGUUUUUAGUGCCUGAUUCUUUGUACUUUCAUUGUGUUUUUAGUACAAAGAAUCUGAGUGAGAAGUUUCUCUCACAAUUCUAAACUCGUGUUUUUGAGAAGCACCUUUGUAUGAAUCUUUUGGCGACACUCUCAAAGUAGUCGUGCAAUGUGUGGAAAUUCUUCUGUGCAAAGCCAGUCAAGUAAUUGUUGCCAUGGCAUGUAGUUGUGGUUUCUUAAUGUCUGUUCUAAUAACUUCUGCACAUGGAAUCAAAUUAAUCUUUAAAUUUUGUGAAAUUCAAAGGAAGGCAAAAUUAUAAAACAAUAAUAAUCAUAAAAAUAAAAUGGAGAGAACUUAGAAGCAUGACCUGCCAAGCAUCCAUGUGAUUCCUCAUACUUGAUGAGCCAUUGAUGGCAAGAACAUAUGCACCCAGAAUUCUCCUUUAAUUAAAUAAGGUUUCAACAUGGUGCACUCAAACUUCUGCACAUAGAGUCAAAAUUAAUCCAUUAUAUCCACGAAAAGAAUAAAGGCAGAAUUACAUUAAAAUAUAAAUAAAAAUGAUGGUUAGAAGAAUGACCUGCCAAUGCAUUUAAAAUCUCUUUGAAUUUGUUUCUCACUUCCCAAUUUAUUAGAAUUUCUGGUUCCAGUCUGUAUGUGUGGGAAAAAAAGGGUUAAAAUUUUAUUAUAAAGCAAAUAAAUUUUAUUAUUGACCUUGAUUGUAAAGAAAUAAUGACAAAAGGAUACUUACGAAAUACAACAUUUGGGAUGUGAGAAAUGAAAGCCCAAUCCGCACCCUUUUUAUUUCCACAUCUUUCCUUCAAUUGGGGACAGUCCACGAUACUCAAUGUUCGUAAAGAGGUGAGGGAAUGCAACUCCUGAGGCAGACACUUCAAUGCCGGACAAGUACCAAUGGUUAGUGUUUGAAGACAAGUGAGAUUCCGCAGUCCAUCUCGAGGUAGAGAUUCGAGCUCUUCAAUGUCCCUAAUCGAAAGGUGCUUCAAUUUAGAGAGAGGAGGAAUGAUCGAGGAAGAAGAAGAGAUUGAUGGUGUGAAUAUUUGGUGCACAAGUUGUGGGCUUGCUUUCUCCAAAUAUAGUGAUUCUUCGAGAGAUGGAAACUGAGGGAUGGAGGUCAAAUUCGGGCAGUUAUCACAAAAGAAAUAUGAAAGACAAGGAAAUUGGAGUAGCUCAAGUGCUGUCGAAUCAUCCCUCUUCUUCUGCCAUCCUUUAAGCUUAGGACAA
rnacentral:lncRNA from 1 species